AGUUUAAGUUAUUUUUCUAUUAUACAAACUCUAAACGUUUUGUCUUUCCAUUUUUGCAUUUGUGAUUUCUUUGAUUGAGUUCAUACAACAAAUAUUAAGUGGACAUCCGAUCUGGAUGCCAGGUGCAUGAAGAGGUAUGAGAGUAAAGGACACCCCAGUUCCUGACUCCAGAAGGCCUCAGUUAAGUUGGGAAUACAAACUGGAAAACAAUUACAAUAUUGUCCUGCUAAGUUCUAAAACGAUGAGGAGAAUGAGCCUCAGCAUGGCCACAUGACUUACCUAAGCCCCAACAACCAAUAAGAGCUGAAGCCAGUAUUUGAAAUCAGGCAGUUGGACUUCAGAGCUUGCCUCUUUAACUGCGGCACAAAACUAGCUCUUAGAGCAAGGAUGUGGUGGUGAUGCCAACAGAGGUGAUAGGCAUGGAGAUGUACAUCAAGGAAACCCUCCGGGAGGAGGUGAGUCAAAGCUGAGAACAGAAAGACUAAGACAACUUCGCCAUCAGGCAAGGGGGUGUGGAGGAAUGGACAUUCCAUGAAUAAGGAAGAGCUUUUCCAAAGGUUUGGAGACAGCCCCUUUGGAGACUGCUCCAUGUUAGGUGCUGGAGAUACAGCGAUGAACAAGAUAUUCAAGGUACCUGACUACCUGGAGUUUACAGUCUAAUUGAGGGACACAGGAAGGAAGCUGUACUGACCAUUUAUCUUUCAC